GCAUAUGUGUGAGCCGGCCCUGCCCACCCCAUCACCUCUGCCGGUGGAUCCCUGCGAGGAGGAGCAGCCAAGUUCUGCCGGUGCCUCCUCCCAAUCCGCAGCACGACCGCCAGAGCCCACGUCUCUGGUGAGGUGAGCCACGGCGGCCACGCGCCUGCGCCGGCGCCCGCGGCUGACACGUCCCCGAGCAUCUCCUCCGCGUCUCUGGAUCCGGCCGCCGCCGCCGCCUCUCUUCUUGCCCUGCCGUUGUUCCUCAGGUGCAUGAGGCGUUGUGCCUCUGGCACGCGGUGCUCAGCUCCGGUCCGUCAUGGAGGUCGCCGGCAAGCAGGCAGCUGCCCUUUGUGCCUUUUCAUCGUCAGGGAGGAUGCCGUCCAGCAGCGCCGUCCUCGAGGUACGUCUCAGAUCCAUCUUCGUAGCGCGUGGGGCAUGUACUGCAAAGGGCCACCGCAGCUGCAGAAAACCAACAAGGGCCCUCAAGUUCAUCUCUCUAUAUCUCUCUCUCUCUCUCUCUCUCUUUCUCUCUCUCUCUCUCUCACGGAGGAACUCAUGUCGGAUGAGAAAUCAUUUUGUGACUUGGUUAGAUCUCAGGUGGCGGUCCUUUUAGAUUCUCUAUGAUUGUGUAUAGGUAGCUACGUUUUGGGUACUGAACUGUUGAUACAGUUUUGUUAAUGCCAUAGUUUUGGUUAAUGCCAGAUUUAAUCGGCUGGAUAAAGGAAAAUGGUACAAAACCUCUAUUAGAGUUGAAUUCUGCUUGAUGCAUAUAGGAACUGAUAUUGUGAACAUGGGUCCAUUUGGGUUGUGGAUUGAUUUAUUAUGAUGGUGAAACAUGCCUAUGUAGAUGAACGAGUUGGGCUUGGACGUUGCUGGCCGCCGACUUGGUCUGCAAGAGGACGCUCCACUGCCGCGGCAGGCCUUGGAGAGAGGCCCAAGGAGUUUACUUCUAUUUUUUUAUAGUCUUCAGAACUGGAGGGUGUUUGCAUAAAUGCUGCGGAAUUAUACAACUACUUGCUUAGGACAAGGUUCAUAAGAGAUGGAGUGGCAACACAGAGAAUAUUUGCAACUACCAGUCAACACCAUACAUUUGAUUCUUAGCAGGGAAGCUACCGGGGGAAUGAGAAUUUGUAGCAUGCCACUACCAGGCUUACCACUAUCUUGGGUUUGAAGAGAAAAUGUAGUUAAGUACCAGCUGAAGGUAAAUACUCCCUCCGUUCCAAAAUAAGUGUCUUAGGCUUAGUUAGUACAAAGUUGAGACACCUAUUUUGGGACGGAGGGAGGAGAAGAUUAGUGAUCCCUUAUUGAUUACCUGGCCCAUGAUGGCUUUGCACGCCCGUGAUGGCUUUGCGCACACCUUUUUAAUAGUCCUAUUUAUUAAUAUAAUGUGUGAUGGAAGUAUCAGUUUGCUUGGUUUUCAUUGCACUUAUUGUAUAGUUUCCUUCUUUUAUAUUCUUAGAUGGCCUCUUGAUCCAUGGCACUGUCAUGUGAAUGCUCUGUCUUUUCAGUUACAUAGGUUCAUUAUUCAUGCCUCAGGCCAUCUACUUACUGGAAUAGGCAACAAAUGGAGGAGGGUAGACUAUAGACAUUUUCACCGCGUUGUUUCUUUCACGGAAAUCAUUUAUUAUGUACAUGGUUGUUUAAUAUCUUUAUAUUAGUGUUUGAUGUUUAGCUUUAACCAGAAACUUGUGCUAGGUGCUUUCCAUUGGCAUUUUUUUCUAUUUAAAAAAUUGGUCAGAGGACGAAUGAAGCAACAAAAUUUAUGUUGGUCCAUAGAGCCCUACUACAUUCCUUUCCUGGUGAGUCUACUUUGUUGCACGUCAGGUAGCAUACAUAAUAUUUUUUCUUUGGCAUCCACAUUAAGUAAACUUUUGCCCUGUUUCCAUGCUGAAAUAUAUUGAAACAUAUCCCUUAUUGUCUAUUGUUCUGUUAAGUGAGCCAAUUGUGUUUCGUUGGCUGAUUUUGUCCUUUUGCAUUCAAGGCUAAAAAAGGAGUAUUGUCACUCGCUGUCUACCCACUUCGACCAGAUUCAUAUGACAUGACACAUGAGGAGUUAAACAACGAGAUACGAGUGAAACUAUGAGACGACCGAGUGAAACUACUGAACAUUAUGAUUUAGUAGAACUACAUAGGCCGCUCUGGCUUGCUUGGAUAUGUAACAACCCAACUAUUGUCCCUACUUAACGAAGAUCCAUAGUCUUGACUUACUUCUGAAACCAAAUUUAUAUUCCCUCUUUAUCAUUAACCAAAUGUAUCUUACUUGCUUUGCUUUUGGUAUGUCUAAUUGUCUUGCACUUUGGCAUUGAUUUAAACAAAUGCCAUGAGUGUCCUCGGCAAAGGUAAUGCCAUGUUUUUGUUGUAUACUUGCUGUACUGGGAUAAUCCAAUCGCUUAAAUUCACAUUUGACAACUCUAAAUGACCAAAUGCUUUGUUUAAGCGCUUGACAAUAUGUUGAGCCAGGCAUCGCGCGCCAAGGCGUGUUUUCUACCUAAUUGAUUCGUUAUCUGAUUCAAAACACUACUCUUUGCUCCUUUUGUAAUCAGCAUAAUGGUAUUUCUUUUAGAUAUUAUUAAAGCUUCCUAAACAACAUGUGUUGCUGCAGAUACACAUAGAUACCUCCUGUUAAUUUGCUGGUGGCAGUGGCGGCGCAUCAAGGUGCAAUGCAGCCGCGUCAUUUUCAUACUACAGGAAAGGAAGAGCUCCUAAUAAUUUUUUAUGCUCCAUGCUGUGAGCUGUCACCUCUUGCCACAUGUUCGUGCUAAUUAUCAACCAUUUGAUUAAGUCAAAGGCAAUAGGAAGGCAUGAAGGCGAUCAAGGUCCUUAUGUACACCAAGUACUAUCUUUUGUCCAUUAUACCGUAUGAGACUAACUAAGUCGUGCACUAUGUAUUUACUGGUGGUGUCUAUAAGGAGAACAUAUCUGGUCUAUAUUUGAAUCUAUGAACUACUAUAUUGAUGAUGUUGAUUUAUGUCUACAUAGCCUACCUUCGAAUGCUUAUAUAAGCUUGGUGUAUCCUUUGUAC